rnacentral:lncRNA from 1 species
CUACAAAUUCCACCUCUAUCUCGAGCCUAACCCUCGGCUCCCAACAAGCCACUCACCGGCAUCACCCAAUUACCUAUUCACUCGGUAGGCGAUACAUUACGACCACACAUGCAUGCCAGGGAAUUAAACCCAUCCACAUUCCGAUCCCAAUUAUACUUAUGCAUGUGACACUUCAAAUCCACAUCCUACCAAAUCACACAACCUCUUCCGAAAUACCAAUCCUGCUACAAUACCAUCAGUAGCAGUAAAUUCCACAACUAGGGUCGCUUAUCCAUGGCCACUUAUCGCUCAUCGCGAACCCCCCGAUCGCACAAUCGAUCUUACUCGCUCUCCAGACCAUACCGCAGGUGACACACUCGUAGGCAACCUCAAAAGAAAGAGAUCGUCGCCAGCGCUACGGUCCGGCCACCUACUAACAACACUCAACCCAUAUGCGGGUCGGUUGCCAACACCAAACACUCCAUCUACCCCACAACGCACACCAUUGCGUCAUGUAGGAACCACCACAACCAACACCUCACAACUAGGUCAGCAAAAGACCUAUCCAGAUUCCGGGAUCACAAUCGCAACUAUCUCAGGGUCGCUAAAAACUCAACCGACCACCCGAUCCACUUAUUAGUCGCAUCAUCUCCCAGCUUUCAACCAAACAACCUGCGCUCAUAUCGCGCAAAGCACCACCUCAUCACACCCUACAAGACCCAAUCUAAGGCCUCAUCAAGGCUUGCAAAUCAUGAGACUAUACAACCUUGAACACUCUCAUUCGGAGUUCCCGCACAUAACAACCGGCCUCCAUUUCGUUAUCCACCAUCGGUUACUCCCGAGUACAUCACGACCAACUCAUCGAUCUACUUGUGAUCUGACUAUGCUCUAACUCGUUGCAU